ACCGUGACAAAAAAUACAAAGCACUGAAGAAAAACACACAUGAAGGAACAUCACCAGUCAGUGCUGAUCAACCCGGCCCGUCAUCUGCACAGGUUUACCUGAUGCAGAGAAACAGCUGAGGCCUGUUUAACCACUGAGGGUCCCACAGGGAACAUUGAAAAGUCAAACGAGGCUUCUGGAUAUCAAUCAAUCAAUCAAGCUUUAUUCAUAUAGCACCUUUCAUACAAAGUCAAAGUGCUUUACAGCGACUGAAAAA